rfam:Batrachochytrium dendrobatidis JAM81 unplaced genomic scaffold BATDEscaffold_176, whole genome shotgun sequence.
UUGAAGGAUUAUAUCGAAGAAUCAAAUGAUGAGGUAACGCUCGGAAGGGUUCUCUCUUAGCCGAAUAGCACUUAAUUUAGUAAGAAUGAUAGUGUUAUAAGCUCGGUGAAAAGGCGUGAGAAAUUCCUUCGUCGAUAAA